rnacentral:lncRNA from 1 species
CAGGAUAAGGAAGCCUGAGUGCAUACCAAUAAUCAAAGCUACAUCUGUGACACAGGACACUGCUGUGGACAGUCUCAGUGCUGCAACUACUGCUAGGAACUCUGGUAGCUCUGGCUGGUGUGGACCAUCAUCAUCAUCCUUAGCUGCUGCUACAUUGGCCACCACCGCCAAGCCAAGCACCGCCUUCAGGCCCAGCAUCGGCAACAUGAAAUCAACCUGAUCCCCUGCCAAGAAGCCUUCAAUCACUCAGUGCUGCCUUUUUAUUUCAGGUUUUUGCUAAACUACUUAACUACCUCCUUAUGAGGAAGUGGUGAGCCAGCCUCCAACUCCUCCCCCAGCAUACAGUGACUUCCAGCUACGCAGCAGCAGCAGCUCCUGCCUCCACAGUGAGGCCUGGCAGAUGGCAGUCCCCCAGCGCCAAUCCCACCAGGGGAUCCAAGGGAAUCCCUUGUCUGAGCCCAGCAGAAGCAUCACAAGACCCCCAAGCAUCGCUGAUCCUGAGCCCUCUGACCUACCAGGUGACCGAGUAGCCACCAAAGCCCUGGGGAUGCAGCCCAGUGGCUCUGUAGCCAGCCUGGGAGAGCUGGACCCAGGGGCCUUCCUGGACAAGGAGGCAGAAUGUAAGGAGGAGCUGCUGAAAGAUGACAGUUCUGAACAUGGCAGCGCACCGCCCAACAGCAAAGAGAAGAUGCUCAGGAGACAUUGCCACUUCACUGGUGACGCGGGCAUUGAAGUGCGUAUGUCAGGGCCACCAUGAUCAUAGCCUUAAAGAGUUCAACAUGCUCAUCGCUGAUGCACUGGAUGGGCCCCUGGACUUCUGCGACAGCUGCCAUGUGCAGCCUCCUGGUGAUGAGGAGGAAGGCCUCUUCCAGCCCUCCAAGGAGCAGGCUUGACAGCCUGGGCACCUGCACCUGCCACAGCUACCUGCAUGCCUGCUGCUAAACAU